CAGACUGCUGCCAUGCCGGCUGGCUAGGUCGCUCUGACACUGCCAAGUCACUCCAUGCCAACCUUGAUCAGCCUGCUAACGGAACAGAGACAAGCCUGCUAGACAGAACCCUCCUGGACCAGAGAGCACCUAGCCACUCUAUCAUCCAUCUGAUAAAUAGUGCCUGUCCCUGCGGGCCCCUGGACUGAUGACACCUCUGCUCUCUGUUGACCAUCUGCAGAGAGAGAUCUGAGGCACACGCACUGCAGAGAUGAAUCCCAACCCGUUCCUGUAAGCGAAAGUCAACCUGCCAAAAGCUGAAGAAUUAUAUAAUUAUCAGUUUUGCUUGCUAGAUAAUUGUACUUUUUAAAUGCUUUUCUCAAAAUAGCUUUUCUCUCUUCUUCUUCUUUUUUAAAUAAAAGUCUACA